GAUUUACCUCUGUCUGGACCAUCUUCUGUCUGGGGACAAGUCAGGCCCUCAGAGACCUUGCCCUCCACCCCUCUCAUGGAGGUGGUAAGCUAUACCACCAACUUGUCAGACUGGUUUUCAUCUCUAGCAAACACACUUCUCCCUUCCCAGCGUCUCCUCACUUGCCCUGGGGCUGUGAUAGCUUCUGGGUUCCCAUAGGACCUCCAUGACAGCACUUUUUCUUUGCUGAACAGUCAACCGAGUGUGCAGUGCAGCCGAGUGGGUGAAAGCCUGGAUUGUGUGCAAAGCACUAGCUGGGAUGAGGAGUCAGAGGGACCUGGAUCGGAAUCCCGGCUGUGCCCCUUCCCAGCUGAGUGACCCCUCUGCGCCUCAGUUUCUGCGUGUGCUAAACAGGAACCACGGCUCCUCCAGCAGGUGUGACUUUGACGUUUGAGGGAAGAGCUGCAGAGGAUCAGAGGUUCGUGUCCUUACUUCCUCCCUGAGCCUCCAGGUACCCCCGUGUCCGCGUCCUCAGGUCCCCCAGAAAGGCACGUGGAGCCGCGGCAAUGGAAGCAGUUCCUUUAUUCUGCCCCAGGCAGCUGCGGUCAUAAGCACACGGGGAAUCCACUGAUGGCAUCCGUGCUCUGCAUGAUCAUGUCCGCCAGCAGAAAGCAGAAGCCUGGCGGGAAGGGAACGGAGGGCGGGUGGAGGAGGGUUACCCGCGAGAACAGAGAAGGGUAAAGCCAGCCACCCCGAAAAACAGGACCAGGAGAAGAAGACGUCGUUUUUCCCUGCAUUCUUCACUGUGUAGCCUGUCAUGGCGAUCAGCUGCAGCAGGCCUGGGCCCCGCCCACCCGCCAGGUGAGGGUGGCCAGGGGGCUGCACCCAGCCUCACCCUGACCGCGCCCACCGCCUCAGACCACGCCCUUCUUGCCCGCCCUCCCGUCCCUACUCUACCCCAUCUCCCUGGCCCCGCCCCUGACCCCGCCUCUUUAGCUCCUCCCCCUCGGGGCCCCUACCUCCUCCAGCUACCAGGCCCACCCUAUGCCAUCUCACCGCAGA